GAGAUUUAUUGAUCUUACUCGUGGAUAAAAAAGAAUGUAAAUAUAUAUAAGUGAUUGUUAUAUUGUGACUUGAAUUGUACAUGUGAGAAUUUUUUUCUCCCUGUUAGAUGACCAUUGUGUAAUAAAACCGAAUCAGGACAUUAACGAUUCUCUCCAGAGAUCGACUCCUCUUGAUCCUGUUCCGGUAGACAUGAAUCCGCAACACAUGAGACGUUCAAGUUUUCCUUUUACAGAGGUCGCAGUUCUUCCAACGUCAUUGCCCGGACUCCCCCUGUUCAUCAG
rnacentral:misc_RNA from 1 species